GGCAGGCGGCCCGCGGGCGGCUGUGGGCGGGAGCUCGGCCCUCCGGGUCCGCCCGCGCCCGGGAGCCGGCGGCCAGGGGACCCGCUGCCAAGGAGGGGGCGGCGGCGGGGUCGGGAACGCGCGGCCCGGCCUAGCUGAGGAGCCAGCAGGCCCCCACAGGCUCUGGUACAGUGCCUCCAGGGACUUAAACCUGCCUCAGCUACGUGAUUACCCUGAUCUAUCUGCUGGGAGAUGAGCAAAGCUCGGAGAGGGACCAGAUCUCAGCAGAGACCAAACCAGCAGCAGUUCCUGAACACCCACCCCCCAGUGCUUCCAGAAGUGCAACAUGGACCAACCUGUGAGCAUUUGCUCCUCCUCAGAUGGGUAGCUUGAAGCCCAGAUUGAGACUCCUGUUUCUCCUCUCUGUUCACUCAUCCCUACUUCCUUUGGUAGUUUCCCUUCUCCAUAUAGCCAAAUUUUAAAGCCUAGAAGCCCUACUCCACUGAGCCAGCCUCUGACUUGCUCUUGAAUGAGGUUAUUGCUCUCCUACCCGGUGCCAGGGGCAGCCACGAGAUACAGAAACAAUGGGAUUAGGAUCUAUCAAGACAGGAAUGCUUGCUCCCUUGCCUGCCAACAUUCUCCUUGUCCCUGUCAUUAUAUCUAUGUGUGUGAAACUGUAAGCAAAUUACGGUUUCUGGUGAUAUAAUUGCAACAGCAUGGAAAUUCUGAUUACUUGAAACAACAUUCCUCCCCAGGCUCUAGCCUCAAUAAUGAAAUGUUAACACACACGUAGCAGUUUUUCAACUUAUGGUUCCUCCUGUUGUCUAGAAGUCAGGCUGUUAUAAAGUGUCUCUAGGCAGCACUCAUUCAACAGCCGAGACACGCCAGAACUGCUUUUUGGAGCAGCCUUGUAAAAACCAAAGUCCUUCAACUCAGAACUUGAAGAAGCUACCAAUUAAAAGGGACCUGUGCUGACCAGGUAACACUUGAAGCUGUGGUGAUGCAGUUAGGCCAAACCUGUAGAAGCUGCUGUAGUAGAAGAGCUGGUAAAGUAAAUGAAGAAAGCAGCACAGAUUUCACAGUGCAGGA